UACGUAGGGCGCAAGCGUUGUCCGGAAUUAUUGGGCGUAAAGAGCUCGUAGGCGGUUUGUCGCGUCUGCUGUGAAAACCUAAGGCUCAACCUUGGGCUUGCAGUGGGUACGGGCAGACUAGAGUGCGGUAGGGGUGACUGGAAUUCCUGGUGUAGCGGUGAAAUGCGCAGAUAUCAGGAGGAACACCGAUGGCGAAGGCAGCUCGCUGGGACGGUACUGACGCUGAGGCGCGAAAGCGUGGGGAGCAAACAGG
rnacentral:rRNA from 1 species